rnacentral:rRNA from 1 species
AACGAACGCUGGCGGCAUGCCUAACACAUGCAAGUCGAACGAGACCUUCGGGCCUAGUGGCGCACGGGUGCGUAACGCGUGGGAACCUGCCCUUAGGUUCGGAAUCACUCCCCGUAAGGGGAGCUAAUACCGCUUAAUGUCUUCCGACCAAAGAGCUAUGGCGUUUGGAUGGGCCCGCGUUGGAUUCGCUAGUUGGUAGGGUAAAAGCCUACCAAGGCGAGGUUCCAUAGCUGGUCGGAGAGGAGGAUCAGCCAGACUGGGACUGAGACACGGCCCAGACUCGGACGGGGGGCUGCGGUGGGGAGUAUUAGACGAUGGGCGAAGGCCUGAUCCAGCAAUGCCGCGUGAGUGAUGAAGGCCUUAGGGUUGUAAAGCUCUUUUACCCGAGAUGAUAAUGACAGUAACGGGAGAAUAAGCUCCGGCUAACUCCGUG